UACGGAGGGUGCAAGCGUUGUCCGGAAUUAUUGGGCGUAAAGAGCGCGCAGGCGGUUUGGGAAGUUGGACGUGAAAUUUUAGGGCUUAACCUUAAAGGGUCGUCCAAAACUCCCAGACUAGAGUGCAGGAGAGGAAAGCGGAAUUCCCGGUGUAGUGGUGAAAUGCGUAGAUAUCGGGAGGAACACCAGAGGCGAAGGCGGCUUUCUGGCCUGUAACUGACGCUGAGGCGCGAAGGCUGGGGUAGCGAACAGG
rnacentral:rRNA from 1 species